rnacentral:rRNA from 1 species
GACGAACGCUGGCGGCGUGCUUAACACAUGCAAGUCGAACGGAAAGGCCCCUUUGGGGGUACUCGAGUGGCGAACGGGUGAGUAACACGUGAGUAACCUGCCCUUGACUUCGGGAUAACUUCAGGAAACUGGGGCUAAUACCGGAUAGGAAUCCUUGCUGCAUGGGGGGGGUUGGAAAGCUUCGGCGGUUUUGGAUGGACUCGCGGCGUAUCAGCUUGUUGGUGGGGUAGUGGCUUACCAAGGCUUUGACGGGUAGCCGGCCUGAGAGGGCGACCGGCCACAUUGGGACUGAGAUACGGCCCAGACUCCUACGGGAGGCAGCAGUGGGGAAUAUUGCCCAAUGGGCGGAAGCCUGAUGCAGCAACGCCGCGUGCGGGAUGACGGCCUUCGGGUUGUAAACCGCUUUCAGCAGGGGCGAAGCUUGUGGUGACGGUACCUGCAGAAGAAGCACCGGCUAACUACGUG